rnacentral:rRNA from 1 species
AAAUCUUACCGGGUCCGGACACACUGAGGAUUGACAGGCAAUAUUAAAAUAAAUGCGCUUUUGUGUAUUAUAUUUUAUGUUAAAUAUGCUAGUCCUUUCAUGAUUAUGUGAUAGGUGCUGCAUGGCCGUUCUUAGUUCGUGGAGUGAUCUGUCUGCUUAAUUGCGUUUCAUUUAUAUAACCGUUUAACACUUGACGCUGUACGCUUUGACCCCUGCUUUUUAGCUUGGCGCGUCUCUGAGUCAGCUCAGGUUCAAGGUUUAGAAAGCAACGAACGUGACCGCAACCUCUUGUUGCCUCUUGCACAAAUCCUUGGCUUUAGCUUUUUGGUUAAACGUUAAGAAAAAGGGGCUUUUAAAACUAGAGGGACCGCUGUACUUCUUUUAAACCAGAGGAAGGUUGCGGCAAUAA